AUUGAACGCUGGCGGCAUGCUUUACACAUGCAAGUCGGACGAGUGGCGAACGGGUGAGUAACGCAUCGGAACGUCCCGAGUAAUGGGGGAUAACUGUCCGAAAGGACAGCUAAUACCGCAUAUUAUUCGAGCGGCCGAUGUCUGAUUAGCUGGUUGGCGGGGUAAAGGCCCACCAAGGCGACGAUCAGUAGCGGGUCUGAGAGGAUGAUCGGCAAACCUGGGAUUGAGACAGGGCCCAGACGCCUACGGGAGGAAGAAGGGGGGAAUUUUGGAAAAUGGGGGCAAGCCUGAUCCAGCCAUGCGGCGUGUCUGAAGAGGGCCUUCGGGUUGUAAAGUACUUUUGUCAGGGAAGCGGUACCUGAAGAAUAAGCACCGGCUAACUACGUGCCAGCCGCCGCGGUAAUAC
rnacentral:rRNA from 1 species